rnacentral:rRNA from 1 species
GACGAACGCUGGCGGCGUGCUUAACACAUGCAAGUCGAACGUGAUUUUUGUGGAAAUUCUUUCGGGAAUGGAAGUGAAAUGAAAGUGGCGAACGGGUGAGUAACACGUGAGCAACCUACCUUACACAGGGGGAUAGCCGUUGGAAACGACGAUUAAUACCGCAUGAGACCACAGAAUCGCAUGAUAUAGGGGUCAAAGAUUUAUCGGUGUAAGAAGGGCUCGCGUCUGAUUAGCUAGUUGGAAGGGUAAAGGCCUACCAAGGCGACGAUCAGUAGCCGGUCUGAGAGGAUGAACGGCCACAUUGGAACUGAGACACGGUCCAAACUCCUACGGGAGGCAGCAGUGGGGAAUAUUGCACAAUGGGGGGAACCCUGAUGCAGCGACGCCGCGUGAGCGAAGAAGGUUUUCGAAUCGUAAAGCUCUGUCCUAUGAGAAGAUAAUGACGGUAUCAUAGGAGGAAGCCCCGGCUAAAUACGUGCCAGCAGCCGCGGUAAUACGUAUGGGGCGAGCGUUGUCCGGAAUUAUUGGGCGUAAAGGGUACGUAGGCGGUUUUUUAAGUCAGGUGUGAAAGCGUGAGGCUUAACCUCAUUAAGCACUUGAAACUGGAAGACUUGAGUGAAGGAGGGGAAAGUGGAAUUCCUAGUGUAGCGGUGAAAUGCGUAGAUAUUAGGAGGAAUACCGGUGGCGAAGGCGACUUUCUGGACUUUUACUGACGCUCAGGUACGAAAGCGUGGGGAGCAAACAGG